UCUGCCCCUACAGGCUUUGCACGUGGGGCUGUUGUAGGUGGCAGAGAGGAAAGCGGCUAUGUCUACACUCAGUGUUCUGACCUGUGAACAUCUGAAUGAUUAGUCACCUAACAGU
ensembl:snoRNA LOC120099503 small nucleolar RNA SNORA17